CCCCUCUCCGGGUCUCACCUAAAGAGAUCCCAGUCCUCUACCAGUUUCGACUACAGGAGGGAAAGCCAAGCAGAGGCCUGCCCAUUCCAUUCCUAGCUUGGCCAGUGGCUAGCGAGUGGAAGGCAAUCUGCUACAAGU